GCAGUCGUGGCCGAGUGGUUAAGGCGACUGACUCGAAAUCAGUUUCCCAUUGGGAGCGUAGGUUCGAGUCCUACCGGCUGCG
rnacentral:tRNA from 1 species